AGAAGUAAUUUAGGAAAGAGAAGGGGCAGGGCCAGCACGCGCAGACAUGAGGUCUGGCACAUAGACUGUAAAGUAAAUGGUGUCCCCUCCAGUUGUUCAGCUCUCAACUUGGACGACAAUACAAGGUGACUCUGGGGAUGGGAGGAACACAACAGUUUUGGCCCCUUCUGCAGACCGGAGGGGGUGAGGGAGCGAGGAGUCGAGGCAGCUCGACAGGUGCCUGCAGCAGGAGGAACAGGCUGUACCCACCAUGAGGACGCCACGUGGUCGCGGUUAGCAGUCUGCCAUCCGGUGGCAUUGUCUCCACAGACGGUCGUCCAACCAGGGGGAGCGAGCGUUCUGCUGUUAGCAAUCUCUAGUACCUGGAGCACCCCUGUGGGAUGCGGGUGGGGAAAUCACCCAGACAUACCCCACAAACACACACCAAACGCUGCGGACAGAGAUUAUCACCACAGCAGGAGGGAGGGCUGUUUCCUGAGCCAGCAGGGAGCUCUGAUGGCGGAGGACACUGUGUUCUGAGACCUCUCCACCGAGCGGAGGACUCGAUGUUGAAGACCUAAUCUGACGUGCGACUCUGUUUGAGAAGGGGACUUUAAGGAGGUUUCGCCUCUCAUCCUACGUGGCAGGGUAUCGCGGUGUAGCGGUUACAAACGUACGAACACUGGAAUAGGACAGAUGUGGGUGGGCGUCAUAGCUUCUGCUCUCACCAGACCUCUGAGCCUCAGUUUAUUCGUCUCUAAAAUGAGCACAGAGUAUCCACCCUGGGGCUUGGUUGUGAAGGUUAGUUGAGGUCGUGACAUAAUGCCUAGGCCCACAAUAAAUGCUAAAUG